rnacentral:rRNA from 1 species
CUAAGAAUAUUCCGCAAUGGACGGAAGUCUGACGGAGCGACGCCGCGUGGAUGAAGAAGGCCGAAAGGUUGUAAAGUUCUUUUGCUGGGGAAGAAUAACCGCAGGAGGGAAUGCCUGUGGGAUGACAAGAACCGGCGAAUAAGCCCCGGCCAACUACGUGCCAGCAGCCGCGGUAACACGUAGGGGGCGAGCGUUGUUCGGAUUUACUGGGUGUAAAGGGUGCUCAGGCGGAGUUGUAAGUCAGAGGUGAAAUCUUACAGCUUAACUGUGAAACUGCCUUUGAUACUGCAAGCCUAGAGUAUGGAGGAGAGUGAUGGAAUAUCUGGUGUAGCAGUGAAAUGCGUAGAUAUCAGAUAGAACACCAAUGGCGAAGGCAGUCACUUGGUCCAUUACUGACGCUAAAGCACGAAAGCGUGGGUAGCAAACA